GAGGGUAUAGCUCAGUGGUAGAGCGCAUGCGUAUCAUGCAAAGUGUCCUAGGCUCAAUUCCCAGUCCCUCCA
rnacentral:tRNA from 1 species